AAGGGAGACCUAAUUCAGGUAUGGGACGAAAAAAAAGUAGUCGCUACCAAGAAUCAAUCCCAAAAGGUCGGAGCGAGGUAUGAGGCUUUCAAACUAGGUUCUGGGUUCACACAAGACCUGAAUCAGGAACAAGGGCUAUUAGCUCAGGUGGUUAGAGCGCACCCCUGAUAAGGGUGAGGUCCCUGGUUCGAGUCCAGGAUGGCCCACCUGCACAGGUGGCAAAAACAAGAGAAGCGAGGAAUCAGCACCUUAUCUUAUCUAUAUAUAUAUAGGAGAGAAUGCUGGCUCUGAGUAAAGAGUCCAGAGGAACCUUGAAAACUGCAUAGAGCUAGGUGAAAAAGCCAAAAAAGAAGACCGCAA
rnacentral:tRNA from 1 species